rnacentral:rRNA from 1 species
GUUGAUCCUGCUGGAGAACGCCGCUAUUGGAGUUCGGCUAAGCCAUGCAAGUCAGAGCGCUUCGGCGCUCGGCGUACGGCUCAGUAACACGUAAGUAAUCUACCCUGAAACAGGGGAUAAUCUCGGGAAACUGAGGCUAAUACCCUAUAGGGAACGGGUACUGGAACGUCCCGUUCCUGAAAGCCCUCGGGCGUUUCAGGAUGAGCUUGCGGCGGAUUAGGCUGUUGGUGAGGUAAUGGCUCACCAAAUCGAAGAUCCGUACGGGCUGUGAGAGCAUUAGCCCGGAGAAUGGUACUGAGACAAGGACCAUAGCCCUACGGGGUGCAGCAGGCGCGGAACCUUUACAAUACACGAAAGUGUGAUAAGGGGACUCCAAGUGGCUCCUUACGGGGCCUUUUGCGGAGCUCAAAUAACUCUGCGAAUAAGAGCUGGGCAAGACUCGUGCCAGCCGCCGCGGUAAUACGGGCAGCUCGAGUGGCGUUCACGUAUAUUGGACUUAAAGCGUUCGUAGCCGGUCCGGAAAGUCCUUGGUGAAAGCUUGCGAUUUAAUCGUGAGAAGUGCCAAGGAUACUUCUGGACUUGGGGCCGGGAGAGGUUGGGGGUAUUCCGGGGGUAGGAGUAAAAUCCUAUAAUCCUUGGAGGACCAUCAGUGGCGAAGGCGCCCAACCAGAACGGGCCCGACGGUGAGGGACGAAAGCUAGGGGAGCGACCCGGAUUAGAUACCCGGUUAGUCCUAGCCGUAAAUGAUGCUGGCUUGGUGUUGCAUAACUCACGAAGUUGUGCAGCGCCGGAGGGAAACUGUUAAGCCAGCCGUCUGGGAAGUAUGGCCGCAAGGCUAAAACUUAAAGGAAUUGGCGGGGGAGUACCACAAGGGGUGGAGGCUGCGGUUUAAUUGGAUACAACGCCGGGCAACUCACCAGGGAAGACAGCAGAAUGAUGGUCAGUCCGAAGGGCUUACCUGACACGCUGAGAGGUAGUGCAUGGCCACCGUCAGCUCGUGCCGUGAGGUGUCCUGUUAAGUCAGGCAACGAGCGAGAUCCGUAGUUCUAGUUGCUAACCCGUUUUUUGAAUGGGUGCACUCUAGAGGGACUGCCGGCGAUAAGUCGGAGGAAGGAGCGGGCGACGGUAGGUCAGUAUGCUCCGAAUUUCCUGGGCUACACGCGGCCUACAAUGCGACGGACAAUAGGAUGCGACUCCGAAAGGAGAAGCCAACCCCUCAAACCGUCGCGUAGUUUGGAUUGAGGUUUGGAACUCAUCCUCAUGAAGAUGGAAUCCCUAGUAAUCGCGUGUCAUCAUCGCGCGGUGAAUACGUCCCUUCUCCUUGCACACACCGCCCGUCAAACCAUCCGAGUGGGGUUUGGACGAGGCUCGGCCCUUAGGACCGAGUCGAAUCCGAGCUCUGUGAGGAGGGUUAAGUCGUAACAAGGUA